rnacentral:rRNA from 1 species
GACAGAGGGGGCAAGCGUUGCUCGGAAUUACUGGGCGUAAAGGGCGCGUAGGCGGAAUGGCAAGUCGGUCGUGAAAUCCUUCGGCUCAACCGAAGAACGUCGAUCGAAACUGCCGUUCUUGAGGAUUGCAGAGGAGACUGGAAUUCCCGGUGUAGCGGUGAAAUGUGUAGAGAUCGGGAGGAACACCGGUGGCGAAGGCGACUACCUGGCCUGUUCUUGACGCUGAGGCGCGAAAGCUAGGGGAGCAAACGGG